AUGUGGCAAAAGGGCCAAAAUCCUAAUGAUCCUUUUGAAGAAGGCAGCAUCACAGCUCCCAUCUACAAAAACGGAACUCCCAUGUCUGUUUUAAGCAUUUUUACAGUGACUGGAAAGGAGUACAACAGUGAAAUGGUCUUCACUUGUGCGGUCAAGCAUGCCAAUAUGAAGAAUCAUAGCACACCGUUAAAGACAACAACAUCUAAGAGUGAGAUUCCAGAUUCAGGAUUGUAUGUACAAUGUGAUGAGGUGACUUCAGAGGAGGACGAGUACAACAGCUUGUGGUCCACUGCCUCCUCCUUCAUCUUCCUGUUCCUCUUCUCUCUCCUCUACAGCACUGUCCUCAGCCUCUCCAAGUAUCAACCAACGUGCUAUGGCUACUUUGACUACUGGGGGAAAGGAACGCAGGUCACCGUUACCUCUGCGAAUUGGUCAGUUACUCACAGUGAUGUCUACUUUGACUACUGGGGAAAAGGAACAUCGGUGACCGUGACUUCAGUUUUCCACUGUGACGAGGCUUUUGCCUACUGGGGAAAAGGAACAAUGGUGACCGUGAGUUCAGACGGUUAUUAUGAAAAAUACAUCUCUGAAUGUGGCAAAGCAGCUCAGUUCACUGUUACCUCUCGGAAUGAUUACUACUUUGACUACUGGGGAAAAGGAACCUCGGUGACCGUCUCUUCAGGUACUCCGACCCCUCCCAAAUCUCUCUUCAGUGUGUCUGCGUGCGCCCCCUCCUCUGAUGGCUUCCUCACUGUCGGCUGCGUCGCGAGCGGUUUCUCUCCCGCCGAGCCGCUCAAGUUCAAGUGGACCGGCGGCGUCACUGACAUGGUGCAGUACCCGGCUGUACAGCAGGGUGGCACCUAUACAGCGGUGAGCCACGGGCGCGUCAAGGCCACUGACUGGGACGCGGAGAAGCCGUUCACGUGUCAGGCUGAACAUCCGGGAAGUUCAACACCCACUAAGAGCACCUUGCAAAAGCAAAAACCGACUCAACCAAGACAACCUGACCCUGUCACAGUUCCACCUCGGCGAACUUCUAGCCAAGGUCAGCUCACUCUGAAUAUCAAUCAACCUCAAGCAAAGGAACUUUUUGUAAACAGAAAAGCAGUAAUCAAAUGUGUCAUAAGUGGUGAUAAUAGGAAGCAGGUGGAAGGAGCAACGGUGUCAUGGACAGUUGGAGGGAGCCGACCAACUAGUGGCGUUCAUGAUGGUGGUGUUAAACAGGCAGGAUCAUCAUUUACCAAAACUAGCACACUGACCCUUGAAGAGUCCGCCUGGUUUUCAGGUACAGAAGUGAUUUGCUCCACCUCAAAAGACCAAAAGAAUAUUAGAUAUACAAAAGGAGACGAACCCCAGUCUCUUAUCAUUUACAAGCCUGAUAUGGCUGACACUGACAAGGUGUCCCUGAUUUGUGAGGUUGGCAGCCCUGAUCUCGGGGAUGUCUACAUCAUGUGGCAAGUGAACAGUGGUCAGUACGCAGAAGGCAACAGCACAGCCACCUUCAAAAAGGACAGCACAUCAAUUGUCCUCAGCUACUUAACUGUGCCUGGAAAGGAUUAUGACAGUGCAGCAUUCACUUGUGCAGCCAAAGUUGCCAACACGCCGAGUGACACCCAGCCGAAACAAGUCUCAACAUCUAAGAAGGAGCUGUGUGUUUCAGAGAAGAAGGUGUGUGUUUCAAAUGAGCUUCCAAAGCCAGAUCCAGGAUUGUAUAUUCAAUGCAAUAAUGAUAAUUUGGAGGAGGAUGAGUACAACAGCUUGUGGUCCACCGCCUCGUCCUUUAUCUUCCUCUUCCUCUUCUCUCUCGUCUACAGCACUGUCCUCAGCCUCUCUAAGAUAAAAUAAAGAUGAAGAAUGAUGUACAAAUGAAGAAAUUCAGUGAAUGUUGUCUUCCAUAUUUCCUAAACUCUGUCUGUUUUCUGCUGAUCUUUUCUGUUUUUAAAUGUGUGAAAAGUGUGUUUCCUUUCAUCCUAAUUUAAGAAUAAAACAAAUGGCAUAUAAAAUAA